rnacentral:rRNA from 1 species
ACUCCUACGGGAGGCAGCAGUGGGGAAUAUUGGACAAUGGGCGGAAGCCUGAUCCAGCCAUGCCGCGUGAGUGAUGAAGGCCUUAGGGUUGUAAAGCUCUUUCGCACGCGACGAUGAUGACGGUAGCGUGAGAAGAAGCCCCGGCUAACUUCGUGCCAGCAGCCGCGGUAAU